UGGGGAAUUUUGGACAAUGAGCGAAAGCCUGAUCCAGCCAUGCCGCGUGUCUGAAGAAGGCCUUCGGGUUGUAAAGGACUUUUGUCAGGGAGGAAAUCCCUAGUGCUAAUACCGCUGGGGGAUGACAGUACCUGAAGAAUAAGCACCGGCUAACUACGUGCCAGCAGCCGCGGUAAUACGUAGGGUGCGAGCGUUAAUCGGAAUUACUGGGCGUAAAGCGUGCGCAGGCGGUUUGAUAAGCCAGAUGUGAAAUCCCCGAGCUCAACUUGGGAACUGCGUUUGGAACUGUCAGACUAGAGUGCGUCAGAGGGGGGUGGAAUUCCGCGUGUAGCAGUGAAAUGCGUAGAGAUGCGGAGGAACACCGAUGGCGAAGGCAGCCCCCUGGGAUGACACUGACGCUCAUGCACGAAAGCGUGGGGAGCAAACAGGAUUAGAUACCCUGGUAGUCCACGCCCUAAACGAUGUCAAUUAGCUGUUGGGGGUUAGAAUCCCUGGUAGCGUAGCUAACGCGUGAAAUNGNCCGCCUGGGGAGUACGGCCGCAAGGUUA
rnacentral:rRNA from 1 species